UCGGUAAGCAGAGUAUAAGACCU
rnacentral:miRNA from 1 species